ensembl:lncRNA
GGGGGCCCCGCGCCCCGCGCCGCCGGACACGGAGGGAGCGCCGGGCCCGACCGCAGCCCCCCCCGCGUCUCUCCUUCCGACGGGGCACGGAGCGCCCGCAGCCCUCAGCCCGCUUCCAACGAGGACUCUGCGCUCCUCGGGGCCGCCGGGCCCCCCUCCUGUCCUCUCCUCUCCUUUCCUCUCCUUUGCUCUCUUCUCUCCCGUCCUGUCCCGUUCCAUCCCGCCCCCUCUCCGUGCCGGCACUGCCCCACCAGCAUCCCGGCGUCUGCACCGGAGCCCACGGCCGCGAGAGGCGAUGCGAUACGAUGCGAUGCGAUGCCACGCAGGGGUUCGUCUCUGGACCAACGUCCAUUGUCUCCUUCGAUUUCCCUUUUGAAUUUAGCCCAUCUCCCCCCCUCCGUUCCGCAGCGUUGUUUUCCGGGAUGCAGAACUCCGGGCAGCCGACCCGGACCCCGCAGCCGAGCAGGUGGGAAUCCGGCAGGUUUGUGAGGAGUGAGGAACGGCCUCGUUUGGCUUCGGGGCUCUUUUUUCCUCCUUUUUUUUUUUUUUCUUUUUUCCUCCUUUUUUUUUUUUUCUUUUUUUCUCCUUUUUGGCUUUUUUUCUCCCCCCCCCCCCCCCCCUUCCUCUCCUUUUCUUUCGACCACGGGGGUCGCAGAGAGAGGGCGAGCAGCAGGAAGGCAGCAGCAGAAGGCAGCAGCACAAAGCACACGGCCGCGGUGCCGCAGGGAUCCCCCACGCCGCGGUGCCGCCGACCUCAGGUGCAGAAAUCCCACCCCGCUCCUCUUCUUCUUCCUCCUCUCCCUCCUCCGAGCGCGGGUUUUUAACACGAACUCAACGCGUCUCCUCAGUACCUCAACGUGUGGUGGCUGGGGGAGCUGGGAGCCCCGCCACGUCUCCCCCCUUUUUUUGGGUUUGGUUUUCAUUUUUUUUUUUUUUUUUUCCCCCCCCUUUUUGGUUUUUUUUUUUUUUUAAUUUUUUGUCCUCUCUCCCCCUUUUUUAAUUAUUCUUAAUGACCACCUCGACGUUCCGCCAGCGCGGCUCCUGCCGCCGCGGAGCACAGCGGGGCCUCUCGGCGCUCUCCUCUGUUAUUAAAUGGAUUUUCACUCUCGAAUGGUCUUUAUUUUUUAAAGCAAUCGGCUCAGUCCCGCCCUGCACAGCGGGGUUUUUUUUAAGCCAACACGCCGUACUCCUAACUUUGAACUGAAUGGGAGCCCGCUGUUCAUUCCAAAGUUCCAGCUAUUGCUGUGUGACGCCUCCCAGGCUCUCGUAGGACCGUCGUCGUCCCUCCGGUUCUGUCUCACACCACGCACGCCCGCCCUCUCAUUUCAGCUGCCUUCUUAAUUUAUUGUCUCCAUCCCUCUCCCGGCCGCCCCGCUCCGUUUGCUCCGUAUUUAUUGGCAGAAGUGAGGCACGGCCGAGGGCGGCUCAUCCCAGCGGGGCCGUCCCCACGCGCCCCCCGCCGCCCCUUUUGAAGGGAAUUUUUAACCAGGACUCUCUUCCGUUUUCCUGUUUUUAACUCUCCUCCAUCACGAAAGGACUCGGUUUCCGACGCCCUCCCGGGAGCAAUAGUAAUUCCUGCGUGUCCGCCCGGCGCCGUACACUCGUACUGUAUUUUGUACUGUAAGGCAGCUGUCCCAGUGAUGUCCUGCUGUAUUGCUGUGUGUGUCCGCGCCAGCAGCGCCGCGUCCCCUCGCUUCGGUGCUGAUGGACUUUCUGUUGCUCAGCUGCUGGGAGCCACUCCGGUUCUUGCGCCGACGCGGGCGGUACCUCUCCUUUUCGAAGAGGGUUAUAUAUAUAUAUAUAUAAAUAUAUAUAUUCUUUUUGGGGUUUUUUUUUUUUUCUCCUUUUUUUGGUUUUUUUUUUUGGAUUUUUUUUUGGCUGAAUUCGCCUUACCUUUCUUACUCCGUGGUAGCGCCGCUUAGGAGCCACGUGGAAAAGGGAAGAGGCAAACAUCACGCAGGCCAAAAAAAACCCAACACCCAGCACAUCUGUCCCACCCGGCGCCGGCUCUGAGCGCUGUAUCUAUGUACAGAAACCUCCCACAGCUCCAUUUGACCUUCCAGCACACGGGUGAGAAGAGCAGAGCGCGUCGGGGGAAGAAAUCUCGCAGCAACAAAGAGAGAACAAGCAGAGCGGUGCGGUGUUUUCUGGCCGCAGCCACACGGAGAGGCUGAGCGAGGCCCGGCUGCACCCCGCGAGGGGAGGAGAGGGGUUGUGGUGGUGGUCUGCCGUGCUCGGUGGUGGGAGCCGACUCCCCUCCUGCUCCCCAACGCCAGCGGGCAGAGCCGGGCUUCGCGUGGCGGCGGUUCGGUUGUUCCUUCUGUGUCUGUAUACACACAGCCCUGUAUGUGUGUAUAGAUAUGAGGUGGUUGUUUCGCUUGGUUGGUUUUUGUUUUUGUUUUUCUUUUUCAAUGGCUUGGAUUCUGUAGGAGACGGGCAAAAGGCUUUUAUCCGGAAGGGGAACGCCGGGUUUGUGGAGCUUCCAGAUUUCUGUCGCCCCGGAAGGGACGGUUUGAGAGCGCGACUCUAUCAAAGCAUCUGCUGUACAAACGGAAAUGUAAAUCUUGUAUAGCGCCCCAGAACCUCGUGUAAAUAGCCGAGACGUCCGGGCCGGCCGCCCGCGUGGAUCAGCCCAAGAAUCAAAUCCCACGGCUCCGUCAAAGUCAAAACUGCUUCGAUUUUCCCCGCUCCCUCCCAAGAGAAAACGGAAACGCUGCGUUACCCCGCGUGCUUCCGGCCGCCCCGGGGUAACGGGCACAGGAGUUGGCUGCAGUGAUCCCCUCAUAUUGAGUGGUCCAUCACUCCGUGACAGCGGAGGGCGACUCGUCGGGAUGCGGCCGCUCCCCGGCGCGGUUCCGAGGCGCUUCGCUCCCCAGCUGCUCCGCUCUGCACUGAGGGGCAGCUUCUCUCGUUGGCGGAAAAGAAAACCCACCUCGCCGGCUUCUCUUUUAAAAUAGAAGAUGAAAAAAAAAAAAAAAUUAAAAAGGAAAAAAAAAAAAAAGUUAAAAAGAACCGUGAAGCGAGUGGUGAUGGUACGCGGGGCGGCGCGGCGACCGUCUCUCAGCAGAUAUUUGCCACGGGGCCGGGAGCAGAUUGAGAAGAUGGCCGUUGGAAGAGCAGCUCAGCUCCGUGCCGGGAGGUUUUGGGGACGUCUGUGCGUGCUGCGGGUCCCUCCUCGUCCUCCCGUGGCUGCGGCGGUGCCCGGCAGGGCGCUGCUGCUGGGUGUGGUGGUGUUGGCAGCGCGAGGCCGACAAGAUGGCGGAGCAGGCGGUUAUCCCGGGGCGCAGGAGGAGCCGGGGGCCGCUGGAUGGCAAAACACCUUGCAAGGAGGGCCGGGCCUGGCUCCUGCAAUAUCUGCUGAGAGACCAAAACGUCGUUCACUCCUCCCCGCGUACCUUGACGAAAGAAGAAAGUUUUAUUCCUCUUAUUUUUUUAAUGAAAGAAAGAAAAAAAAAAUAAAAGCAAACCAUGCACUUUACGCGGCCCAGCGCGGGGCUGCCCGGGGGGGUCCCGUCCCCUCUCCCACGGCGGCGGGGCCGAUUCUCAUUCCCUUCCUCUGCGGCCGGCGGGGCGGCUUCGGGAGCGCCGGGGAGCGGCCGGCGUUUGCCGAAGGCAGGUCCUGGAUUUACCACUAGCAAAAGAUGACGCCCGACGUGACGAACUCCUCAUGCUAGCGAGCACUCCUUACCGUAGCAGAUUUUUGCAAAUGGAGUUUUACAGUCUAUAUUUAAAGAAUUGUAUGUUUGUAACAAAUAAAAAAAAAAAAAAGUAUGCGGAAAAGUGAAUGAAAAAAAAAAAAAAAACAACAAAAAAAAAAAC